GACGAACGCUGGCGGCGUGCUUAACACAUGCAAGUCGAUCGGAAAGGCCCUGCUUUUGUGGGGUGCUCGAGUGGCGAACGGGUGAGUAACAUGUGAGUAACCUGCCCUUGACUUUGGGAUAACUUCAGGAAACUGGGGCUAAUACCGGAUAGGAGCUCCUGCUGCAUGGUGGGGGUUGGAAAGUUUCGGCGGUUGGGGAUGGACUCGCGGCUUAUCAGCUUGUUGGUGGGGUAGUGGCUUACCAAGGCUUUGACGGGUAGCCGGCCUGAGAGGGUGACCGGCCACAUUGGGACUGAGAUACGGCCCAGACUCCUACGGGAGGCAGCAGGGGGGAAUAUUGCACAAUGGGCGGAAGCCUGAUGCAGCAACGCCGCGUGCGGGAUGACGGCCUUCGGGUUGUAAACCGCUUUCGCCUGUGACGAGGCGUGAGUGACGGUAAUAGGUAAAGAAGCACCGGCUAACUACGUG
rnacentral:rRNA from 1 species